GGGAAACCCAGUGUGACUCGUCACACUAUCAUUAACUGAAUCCAUAGGUUAAUGAGGCGAACCGGGGGAACUGAAACAUCUAAGUACCCCGAGGAAAAGAAAUCAACCGAGAUUCCCCCAGUAGCGGCGAGCGAACGGGGAGGAGCCCAGAGCCUGAAUCAGCAUGUGUGUUAGUGGAAGCGUCUGGAAAGGCGCGCGAUACAGGGUGACAGCCCCGUACACAAAAGCGCAUGUGCUGUGAGCUCGAUGAGUAGGGCGGGACACGUGGUAUCCUGUCUGAAUAUGGGGGGACCAUCCUCCAAGGCUAAAUACUCCUGACUGACCGAUAGUGAACCAGUACCGUGAGGGAAAGGCGAAAAGAACCCCGGCGAGGGGAGUGAAAAAGAACCUGAAACCGUGUACGUACAAGCAGUGGGAGCACCCUUUGGGUGUGACUGCGUACCUUUUGUAUAAUGGGUCAGCGACUUAUAUUCUGUAGCAAGGUUAACCGAAUAGGGGAGCCGGAGGGAAACCGAGUCUUAAUUGGGCGUUAAGUUGCAGGGUAUAGACCCGAAACCCGGUGAUCUAGCCAUGGGCAGGUUGAAGGUUGGGUAACACUAACUGGAGGACCGAACCGACUAAUGUUGAAAAAUUAGCGGAUGACCUGUGGCUGGGGGUGAAAGGCCAAUCAAACCGGGAGAUAGCUGGUUCUCCCCGAAAGCUAUUUAGGUAGCGCCUCGUGAAUUCAUCUCCGGGGGUAGAGCACUGUUUCGGCUAGGGGGCCAUCCCGGCUUACCAACCCGAUGCAAACUGCGAAUACCGGAGAAUGUUAUCACGGGAGACACACGGCGGGUGCUAACGUCCGUCGUGAAGAGGGAAACAACCCAGACCGCCAGCUAAGGUCCCAAAGUCAUGGUUAAGUGGGAAACGAUGUGGGAAGGCCCAGACAGCCAGGAUGUUGGCUUAGAAGCAGCCAUCAUUUAAAGAAAGCGUAAUAGCUCACUGGUCGAGUCGGCCUGCGCGGAAGAUGUAACGGGGCUAAACCAUGCACCGAAGCUGCGGCAGCGAACGUAUCACUUAAAGCGAUUCAGCGGGUUACGAUUGACGGAGCGAAGCGACGUCAAAGCGUAUACAAAGUCGAGUCGGUUUAAGGAUACGUUCGUUGGGUAGGGGAGCGUUCUGUAAGCCUG
rnacentral:rRNA from 1 species